GCAUUAGUGAUUCAGUGGUAGAAUUCUCACCUUCCAUGUGAGAGACGUGGGUUUGAUUCCCAGCCAAACACC
rnacentral:tRNA from 1 species